rnacentral:rRNA from 1 species
GUGAGGAAUAUUGGUCAAUGGGCGGGAGCCUGAACCAGCCAAGUCGCGUGAAGGAAGAAGGAUCUAUGGUUCGUAAACUUCUUUUGCAGGGGAAUAAAGUGCAGGACGUGUCCUGUUUUGUAUGUACCCUGAGAAUAAGGAUCGGCUAACUCCGUGCCAGCAGCCGCGGUAAUACGGAGGAUCCGAGCGUUAUCCGGAUUUAUUGGGUUUAAAGGGUGCGUAGGUGGUUUGAUACGUCAGCGGUGAAAGUUUGCAGCUUAACUGUAAAAAUGCCGUUGAAACUGUCGGACUUGAGUGUAAAUGAGGUAGGCGGAAUGCGUGGUGUAGCGGUGAAAUGCAUAGAUAUCACGCAGAACUCCGAUUGCGAAGGCAGCUUACUAAGCUACAACUGACACUGAAGCACGAAAGCGUGGGGAUCAAACAGGAUUAGAAACCCGAGUAGUCC